rnacentral:rRNA from 1 species
GACGAACGCUGGCGGCGUGCUUAACACAUGCAAGUCGAACGGAAAGGCCCUGCUUGCAGGGUACUCGAGUGGCGAACGGGUGAGUAACACGUGGGUGAUCUGCCCUGCACUUCGGGAUAAGCCUGGGAAACUGGGUCUAAUACCGGAUAGGAGCCAUUUUUACUGUGAUGGUUGGAAAGUUUUUUCGGUUUAGUAUGAGCGCUCGUCGUAUCCGCUUGUUGGGGGGGUAAUGGCCUACCAAGGCGGCGUCGGGUAGCCGGCCUGAGAGGGUGGACGGCCACAGCGGGACUGGGACAGGGACCAGACUCCAACGGGAGGGAGCAGCGGGGGAGGGGGAACUAGGGGAGUAAGCCUGAUGCAGCGGCAGCGAGGGGGGGAUGACGGCCUUCGGGUUGUGAACGCAGUUCGCCAGGGACGAAGCUUUUUGUGACGGUACCUAGAUAAGAAGCACCGGCUAACUACGUG